AGAGUUUGAUCCUGGCUCAGAACGAACGCUGGCGGCAUGCCUAACACAUGCAAGUCGAACGAGACCUUCGGGUCUAGUGGCGCACGGGUGCGUAACGCGUGGGAAUCUGCCCUAGGGUGCGGAAUAACUCGGAGAAAUCCGUGCUAAUACCGCAUAAUGUCUUCGGACCAAAGAUUUAUUGCCCUGGGAUGAGCCCGCGUAGGAUUAGCUAGUUGGUGGGGUAAAGGCCUACCAAGGCGACGAUCCUUAGCUGGUCUGAGAGGAUGAUCAGCCACACUGGGACUGAGACACGGCCCAGACUCCUACGGGAGGCAGCAGUGGGGAAUAUUGGACAAUGGGCGAAAGCCUGAUCCAGCAAUGCCGCGUGAGUGAUGAAGGCCCUAGGGUUGUAAAGCUCUUUUACCCGGGAUGAUAAUGACAGUACCGGAGAAUAAGUCC
rnacentral:rRNA from 1 species